AGUGAACGCUGGCGGUAGGCCUAACACAUGCAAGUCGAACGGCAGCACAGGAGAGCUUGCUCUCUGGGUGGCGAGUGGCGGACGGGUGAGGAAUACAUCGGAAUCUACUCUGUCGUGGGGGAUAACGUAGGGAAACUUACGCUAAUACCGCAUACGACCUACGGGUGAAAGCAGGGGACCUUCGGGCCUUGCGCGAUUGAAUGAGCCGAUGUCGGAUUAGCUAGUUGGCGGGGGAAAGGCCCACCAAGGCGACGAUCCGUAGCUGGUCUGGGAGGAGGAUCAGCCACACUGGAACUGAGACACGGUCCAGACUCCUACGGGAGGGAGCAGUGGGGAAUAUUGGACAAUGGGCGCAAGCCUGAUCCAGCCAUACCGCGUGGGUGAAGAAGGCCUUCGGGUUGUAAAGCCCUUUUGUUGGGAAAGAAAUCCAGCUGGCUAAUACCCGGUUGGGAUGACGGUACCCAAAGAAUAAGCACCGGCUAACUUCGUGCCAGCCGCCGCCGUAA
rnacentral:rRNA from 1 species